rnacentral:lncRNA from 1 species
UCCCUUUCCACCCCCCACUCCCCCGCCUUGAAUUAAAUUGUUUUCUUUUUCUGGGAGGUUCAGUUCGAGGGAAGUUUUGCUCCGGAGCCGGGGUCGGGGCUGAGGAGGGAUGGAGCAGACGGAAAGUUGCGGUGGUGGGAGGAGGCGGGGGGCGAGGGCAGUACGGGACCCCGGCGGCGCCCGGACCGCGGGGGGAGCAGGGGCGCGGGGGACCUGCCGCCGCUGCCGGCUCUUUGUCUGCUCGGGCAACUUGAACAAAAGGAGAAACUCGGAUGAACUCUCCAUCUCUCCGUCGCCUCUCCCGGGUUAACUCAUCUUCGGCAACUUUAUCCGAAGAGAUUUACUCAACUUUCUUCGAGCUCUCCCGCAGCUUAAAAGCAAAGAGCCUCGCCGUAGGUUUCUAAGGAAAUCUGGUUUCACAGUUUAGAGAAAAGGAGAAGGUCACAACAUGAUAGUUGGGAAAAUGGAAUGGUUGCCAGAACAUCAGUCUGUGAUGGAUGCCAUAUUGCAUUACCCUUCAAAUGGUGGAAUACAGUUUGGGAUUCCUCAGACCUGCUUAACGUGGUUCAAGAUGGAACUUACAGCUGCUUAACGUUUUAGCUGUUUGGAUCCAUGGUUAUGGUUAAUGGUUUCCUGGGUGAAGAGUCCCAUGCUGAAACUUGUGGAUAUUGUAGAACAUGCUGCUGAGACCCAUUUGGAUUAUACUGCCAUCUGACAUCAAGGUUUUGCAGCUGAUGAAAGGAGUUUACCAGAUCUUUUUUAUGUGGUUGCUGAAGCAUUGCCCUGGGACAGCAGUAAUGAUGGAUGGAGGAACAGAACACACUUCAGAGCUAUCUGAAACUGGCUUUCUUUGUUCACUCCAGCUGUCAGCAGAUUUCAAGGUAUGUCUGUGUUUGAAGAAGUUAUCAUAGAUAUUGGUGACAGCUGGGCUUUGAAAUGUUCUUUGCAGUCAACACAAA